UACAUAGGUGGCAAGCGUUGUCCGGAAUUAUUGGGCGUAAAGCGCGCGCAGGCGGUCCUUUAAGUCUGAUGUGAAAGCCCACGGCUCAACCGUGGAGGGUCAUUGCAAACUGGGCUUCUUGAGGUCGAUAGAGGAGAGCGGAAUUCCUGGUGUAGCGGUGAAAUGCGUAGAUAUCAGGAGGAACACCGGUGGCGAAGGCGGCUCUCUGGGUCGGACCUGACGCUGAGGCGCGAAAGCGUGGGGAGCGAACGGG
rnacentral:rRNA from 1 species